UUUCAACUUCGCUCGCAACCCGCGAUCUCCCCCGGUGCAAGCCAGACGAGCGACCAGACAGACAGACAGACAGACAGUCGGCGCCUUUUUUUUUUAACGCGAAGUCACCAUAUGGCUACAGGAUGCUGACACCUGCCCGGUGCGCAGAUAACAACAGCCGGGCAGCAUCACCCACUUCUUCAGACAGUGACAGGCAGCAGAUCAGUGGCUCGGUGGCUCAGAACCUAUUGUGGAGCUAACCUGGCUGCCAACAAUAAGACAUGAUGACAUUGUCCUGUUUUCACGCUGGAGGCCUCCCAGUAAGGAGUUCACUUCGAUACCUCUUCAGUGUGACAUGGAAACGGUCCUGCAGCCACCAGCGGAGCCGAGCUGAGCUGCAGAGCUUUAGAGCCCUGCUGAGACCUGCCAGACCCACAGCUUUCCCUGCCAGGGGCCUCGGCUCGCAGUCAGAGUGAGUUACAACCCAUGCCCCUGACACACACGCUAGUACAUGCACACACAUACAGAUAGCUUAAACAUGUACAGUGUGUUGGCAUGCAGGAGCACACGUACAGUAGAUGGAGCAUAUAGUGGAGAACUAUAAACUGAUACACACAAAGAGAAACAAAUACUGUCUGUAAAAAUGCAGACAAAUGCAAAUAUGUGCACACAUGUAAGUGAAUAGUGAGUGUAGCUCCACUGGACCGGUUAAUACAUGGUGAUGGCCAUUGCAUGGACGGUUACUUAUGUCCCUAACUUUUUUAUUCAAGUCACACACACACACAGAUAGGAUAUAUGUAAACAAAACAUGCUUGCACACAUAGUAAUGUGAGCAUGUCCUCUUACAGGAGCUCUAUCUGUCAGGGUUAGUUUGAGGUCAAGGUCCGGCAGCUGCUGGAUCAGAUGGAUUGAUCUGUCUGGGUAAACAUGUGAAGUGAAAAUGAGCAUGGUUACAAUUAAGGGAUUAGCUGAAGGCAUGUGUCUGUGUAAGGCACAGCAUCAGUAUGGGACAGCACAUACUCUGUGUAGAGUAGAGCAAUGUACCGAUAUAUCAGCUGCAUCGGUGUGUCAGCAUGUGCUUCUAAAUUAGUCUUUUCUCAUCAUGGCUCAGAUAGGAUCACCUAUCCUGUCAGCGCUCAUGUUUCUUUUUCUUUUCCUUUUUUUAACGGCAAAAAGUACUUCUACAUGUAAGCCAAUGGAUUGUCUGUUCUUAAUGAUGAGUGCAUUUAUACUGUACUACAGUUACAAGGUUCCCCAUGAGUUGAAAAUGUUUCGUGGUGUCAAGCCCUUAAAAAUGUAUUUAAUUCAAAAUAAAAUUAAUUAGUGACAGGGCAUUUAGGGCUGUUUUUCUUUGCAUAUUGAGAUUUUCAGAACAUUUUGAGUAGUAUUUCAUAAUUUUAUUUUUAUUGCUUUCCUUUUAUCAUUGAUGUUUUGUUAUCUACAAUAAUACCCAUUAUUGUCAAUCUUUUAUUUUUGUCCUAAUUGUUGUUAUUUUUGGUGGUUAUGGUGUUUUAGUCUCAAAAUCUAUUUUUUACAUCCCGUUUUGUCAGUUGCUCGUAAAGCACUUGUUUGAAAGGUUCUAUAUAAAUAAAGUUUGAUUGAUAUAUGUGGCUACAUUCAUACAGCCAGUGUUUGCAGCUGACAACCGUAUUUACGGAGGAAAAUGAACUGUAUUGUGUGUACUGUAUUACCGCAGGACACCAUUUGUAUGAGGAAAUGACCACAUGGACAAACGUCACCCAACCAUGUGUCAACAAAUCUCCCCAAAGGCAUGAUUGCUGGUUCAUUGAACAUCAUUAACAAUGUGACUAAAAUCAUUGACUGCUCCUCGUGCCAGGCAGUAUUACCAAAAUGUUGUAUCAUGAUAUUUUUUAAGAUUCUAGUGGUUUUACGGUAUAUCACGGUAUUUAGGGCCUUUAUAUCGGUUUAUGGUGGCUUAUUCUACUGUUAGGAAUGCAUAGAAUAUAAAAACAUUUCAGUGUCAUGUAUAUAUUAAAGGAGUUUUCUUGUCCCCACAAAAUAAUACAAUAUAUGAAGGAAUCAGAUUGUAAACAUUUUUUUAUUGUGCAAACUGUAAUGUGGUAAAUAUAAAAAUAAAAAAGAUCUGCCAACAAUACUGCUGCCUUUUAUUUCUUUUUAUAGUUUUUAUAAACACUUUAACCUGACAUAAUACUCAAAGUAUUCAAAUAUAUUUCUCAAAUGUUCUAUUGCGCAAGAAACAAAUGAGUUAGAGGAUGCGCUGGUAUUCAAAUCAUACGGGAGAUUAAAAUGGUUAUACUGGUUCAUCUGGUAUUAUCACCCAACUGGAGCUGGUCAUUCAAUGAACUGGAACUCUUCAAUACCAAUGUUUUUCAACCAAUCCAUCAUUCGGGAGGUCAUCACUGCCUUUGUCGACUGGUGUGAGUUAAACCAGCUUCACAUAAAAGCCAGCAAGACCAAGGAGAUGGUAGACUAACGCAGGAAAGCGGCCCAGAAUAAACCGGUGAACAUCCAGGUUGAGACGGUGACAACUUACAUAUACAUGUGUUCACCUCAACAAUAAACUGGACUGGUCCAACAACACAGAUGUCCUGUACAAGAAGGGGUCAAUGUAGUUUUCAUCUGCUGAGGAGACUGAGGUCCUUCAGUGUGUGCAGGACGCUGUUAAAAUCUUUCUACGACACUGUGGUGGCAUCUGCCAUCCUCUGUUGGGGAGCUGGAAGCAUAGACAGGGACAUAAAGACUUAAACUGUUGAAGAGGGCUAGUUCUGUCCUGGACUGCCCUCUACACUCCAUAGAGGAGGUGGAUGAGAGGAGGCUGUUAGCUGACGUCAAUUAUGCACAACACCUCUCACCACCUGCGUGAAACUGUGGGGUCCCUGAGGAGCUCCUUCAGCAACAGACUGCUGCACCCUCAGUGCAAGAAUGAGCGCCACCGCAGAUCAUUCAUUCCAACAGCUGCAACUCUUAUUCUGUUUUUUCUAUUUUCAUUAGAUCUUGUAUUUUUGUAUUUUACUUAUUUUUUCAUUUAGUGUGUAUUUUCUUAUCUGUGCUGUAUCUGGAGCUGCUGUAGCGAGUCAAUUUCCCCAGUGUGGGAUCAAUAAAGUUUAUUUUAUCUUAUUUUAUUCCAGCAUACACAAGUGGCAACUGUUGUAGUUAAUGUAUGGUUUAAUUAUGUAAUUAAAACCACUUUUUAAAGCUAGGAGAAUAUUGUAAUCACCACCUGGUUUAAGAGAAAUGAUCAGUUUUAGAUAUCAUAGUCUGUUUAGAGGUGUUGGGGAUGACUGCUACACAUGUGAAAUAUGAAAUAAACCUUCCCAUCCAAACAGAGCUGAAAUCUGAUUAAUUACCUCCAUUGAUGUCAUUUGAGUCAGCAUUAGGGUCUGAAGACUACAAGUUUGGAAAUGAGAAAAAAAAUAUAAUUGUUUGGAGUUAGGAGCUCAAGACACAUUAGCCGCUACUAGCAUUGCAGUCAAAUCUCAGACUGUUGGCGGUUGAGUUGCAUUGUGGAUGAAGUAGGCGCCAGGUUUUGACAAAAAAAAAAAAAAGACUGGUUCUGCUGCAUCGAUUUUGAAUUGUCCAUUUUAAGUUCAACAAAAUUAUGAAUCAGUGGAGUUUAAGACGAGGGAAAGUUGAUGUUUAGAAAUUAAAAUACAUUGUUAUGAGGAGGUUCUAGACGGAUUGUUUGAUCACGGUUCGAGGCCAAAGGUCCAAUUUAUGACCGAGUGGACCACACUGAGUGUUUGUUCUGUAGGUUUUGGGGUCCUAGGUGGUAGAAGAAUCUGAGUUACACAUCACUCUUACUUGCCUGGUUUAACCUCGUUAUCAUUCCCUUUUACAAUGGACAAAUUUAGCACUCACAUGAGGGCUGACAAAACGCUUUUCACUGGCUGUAUGAAUUUAUUUUACAGCAGUAUUAUAUUGUGUGUGAGCGUGAGUAGCUGUAGAGCUUGCGUCUACAUUAAUCCCAGGAAUGUUGAUGUGGUUCAGAGUUUGAUAGAAUGAGGCGUGGGUGAAGUAAGAGUCCACCGGAGCAGAGUUGAGGUCUUAAAGUACUAAAAAGCCUUGACCCAGACCCUACACGCUUACUCACAGAGACACAGCACUUCUUUUCCAUCCCAGCACAUGCUUUUAUACUAGCUAUGCAUCAAAAAACACGACAAACAAAAGGAAGACAAAAAGGAUAUGAACUUAAAUGAAAAACAUUAUCGUUUGUUAGAUAAAGAUGAGCACGAAAUGUACCCAGUCACAGACGUUGAUGCGUUUCCCAUCCACAGCUCAAACAAACGCACAUACACAACCAAACACAUCCCUGUUGUCUUGUGUUGCUCGUCAUGCAAUGAGGAGCACAUGACUUAAAUCGGGUGUGGUGCAUGACCUCUUAUCGGACAAAAGCGUCCCACAGAGAGAGCUGAUGGGGGAGACUGCCUCCCCUCCUCUCGGCAGUCAUGAGGUCUCCAUCCCGUUCGCCACGCUGUGUCUCGUGGUUCAAAGACCAUAAAAUGUUGGCGGCGUCUUGUCAAUAAAUCAGCUGUUUAGCCUGAGGAGAACGGCAGUAACGGGGGGGAGAAAGUGCAAAAUACUUAUUUUUAAGACAUAUUUUGCAAGAAUGACUCCUUUGAAAUUUUUGUCGCGUCCUAUUAAUGUCUCACCUAGAGGGCCUAAUGUUUCUCUGUGAGAAUGGUUGGUUUGUAAUUCAUGCAUUCACCCUGAAGCCUCUACAUGCUCAUGCACUCAUGCAGAGCUAAAUGCAAAUAUUCCAAUGACAGAAGCGGUAUACUCUUUUAUCUCAUUUACUGAUCUCUUUUCAGUGUCUUUGUGAUGAGCUCUAAUCAUCUAAUUGUCAUAAUGAUGAUGAUAUCUGUGUGCUAGAGUAAUGAGUUGUAUGUCUUAUAUCUUACAGGGAUAAUUUUUUCACUGUUUCCUCACCAUAUUGUGGUUUCAGUGACAGGACUAACAUCCUAGCAGUACUGAUGUUUUCACUGAAACUUUUGCAACAGUUUAGUGACUCAAUUAGGAUGUACUUAAAAUACCACAUAUUUUAAUGUUGCAUGGUAGGUUUCAUAGGCAGGUAGUUGAAAAUGCUUCUGCAGGUGUUAAAAUGGCUAAUAAACUUAAAUAAACUUGUUCCACCACCAGGGCAAGGUAUCUUUUUAGAAAUCAGUAAAAUGGAGGCCAGUGAGGGUUUUAAAAGUUUACUACUGAACGUCCUCUCAGAACGUUGCCUCUUCGCUUCGGUUGAUGGCUGACAAAGUGUAACCAAAAGGGUGAAAUAAAAUUGAGCAGAAAAGUGUGAGGAUAUCAGUCCCUUGUGCAUGUGUUUCUGUGUAAAAGCCAGCUGUCUCAUGACAAGGCAGCGUCAUUGAGAGGCAUUUCCCCCAGGCAACAGGCCACUGUCCACUUAGGGCACAGCAGUAUUCUCUAACACAAGCUUACUGGGUUCAUCCACUGUCGAGAUGUUAAAAGGACUGAUUGUCAUGUGUACUGCUGAUGGCUGUAUGAAAAUCAAGUAAAAGAAGCUGUGAAUCGCAGGCCUGUAUAUAUGUGACCAUGGCUAAUUGUGGAAUGAACUGAAGAAUGAUGGAUUGGGGGAUGUAAAGACAGAUGCAAAGACAGUUGUCCCCUCAAGUGAUGGCUACCUUGAGGAGUCAAUUACUUUGAUCAUCUACACAGUGUUAAAAGCAUAAGUGGAGUAAAAUCAGGUCUGUAAAAUGUUUUAUUCUUGGAUUAUGUAUACUAAUUAUGUGUAAUAUGUCGAAUAAAGAUUCUGUUCCAAAUUAUAUUAGACAAGUUGUUGUCUCUGUGUUUUUGGUUCCUGCUAUUUAAAUUUUAUUUUAUUUUUUUAAAACAGCUGGGUACUGUAUCUUUUUACCAAACAUCACUCAAACAGGAGUAUACUUGUUGGGGACUCCUUUCAGCCAUAGAAUAAUGCAUAUAUAUAGGAUGCAUAUAUAGGAAUAAGCUAUAUGUAAGUGUUUUUUAAGGGGAUUUCUGCAUUAAAAAAACACAUUGAUCAUGUGACUUCUUAAUUCAUAAAUUAUACGUGUACAUAUGCAGUUUAUUUAGCUGCUGUUCAUGGUAACUGCUAUGAUGAAGGGCUACAAAUAUAACAUUUGUACCCUGCUCCUCAAAGUUACAGUAAGACAUGAAGUAUGAUUCGUUAAUUUGCUCGAGUGCGCGUCACAUGAAGGUUUAAGUUUCCCAUUUACAAUAAUUGGUCACAAAAUAUUUUCAUUUCAUUCAGAACAUCUGCUAUGGUUGACAACAUUGAUGGAACAUCUCAAAAAUCGUUUACAGUACAACAUUUACACACACACACACACAAGCAUGUUUGGGGUAGUAGCAGGAAGCUUAUGCAGUUCUUGGAAAGAAAAAAAUGGUUAUCAUGCUUCAACUGCUAUGUAAAACAGAGAAGUUAGGCCUCCAUUCUCAAUGCAAAAAAAAAUGCAAAGUGACAGAUAAAGAAGAACUUCUGAACUCAGUAGGGAGAACAAAAUGUGUAAACUUGUUGAGCUCAGCCUGUCUGAUGAUGUGACGGUCACUCUCACACACAGACACACACACACACACAAACAAACACAGGACUAAUGAGUCACACAUUCCAUGCAUAUAAAAUAUGCUGCUCUCUCACAAAUGUUUGAUAAGUUAGAUCAUUGUGUUGGACUUUCUGUGGUAUGUUACAUGCUGCUGUUUGCCAGCACUAAAAAAAAAGUUGACUUGUUUUCCCAGAGAAAGAGGGACGACAGAAAUACUUACAACUUUGAGAUGUUUUAAAAUAGAUGCUCUUUAAUUGCAGCAGUUUUCAGUACCUUAUCUGGUAUGUGUUGAUAUCACUGUUAUUCAUGUCUGAAGAAUCUGUGGUGAGUGUUUGUGCGAGUUCCUGAGGCACAGUUUGGCAAACCACAAAAUUCCUUCAAAUCCCCCCCCCACCCCCCAAAUUAUUAACUGCUCUGAACAAAGCAAAUUGUAAACUGUUGAAAUGUCACAUGAAGCCUAGUUUGAAUAAAAUAUAGCGCCGGUGGACAGGGUGUUAACAUGUUAAUAUCUGUCCUUGAUCACUUGUUACGAAAGCUCAUGCCACACCUGAGCUGUGGGAAAACACCUGUCUAAUGAAUUUAAAGACAAAAGAAGGGAAAAAAAAUAUAUUUUACCUACCAACUAAGACUUGAAAAGCAGUUUAACUGUGGGAGGUUGAUGACAUACCCCACCCAAAGAGCUGCAUCAUGUGGUCCAUUCACAAAGCCUAUGAGCCCAACCCUGGAGCUGCAUCUCAUGGCCUACCCAUAAUGCCUAUGAGCCUGACUCAGGAGCUGCAUCAGGAGGCCUGGUCUUACAGCCUGUGAUCCACACCCUGGAGCUGCACCGGAGGAACUGCUUACAUAGUCCAGCGGGACUAGUCUAGGAUUUGCAAACACGCAGACACGCCUUAUCUGUGCUGCAUUUCUGCCAGACACUGAACAGACACUCGCAGAUAAAACAGCAAAGGCACAAAGCCAGAUGAACUCACACCUACGAACUUUAAAUACAGCUCCUCGUAUCCUAUGUUCAAAACACCCGUUGUUAACAAUAACUAAAUGUGGUUACAAGGCCAAAAUGUCCGCUGUAACUUGUGUGUUUAUCAUCGGUAAAUAUACACAGAUGUUAGCGUCCAGUGUAGCUCGUGAACAAUGCUGGCAGCUCCACACCUUCAGCACAAGGGACACAUUAAGAGAAAUAGUAGGAGGAACUGGCCCACUCACUCUACAGGCCAGUCCCUAGUGUGUGUAAGUGUGUGUGAGCUCGCACACGUGAGUGUUUUAAUGUAAAAUGUCCUCAUCCUUAAGAGUGGAGUGAAAAUCUUACUGCAAGUCACAAGGAUUGCAACAUGCUGAAAGUCUAAAAGUAUAGUAUGAAAUCAAGAGCUUAAAGACUUCUCAGAAAAUGUCACACUAUUCAGUUCUACCCAAAGUUCACGUUCAGUUUUGAACUUAUCUCAGAAUAAGGCCACUUUAGAGCAGCUUCAUGUGUGAGUGCAUGUGCUAAAUUACCUCAGUGUCAAGCAUGAUGAAUUAUUGACCAUCAAAUGUUCUUCUUACUUGCAUUAGUCAAGUCCCACAGAGGGAGAUGAUGUUUCAGAUGCAAAUAGAGAGAGAGAGGCCACGCUCACUUCGCUGGCAUGUUCCAUUGCUCAACCUGUUGAUCAAGCUUUUCCCCAAAGGGCCUGAAUGCUUAUUUCACUAUGAGCUGUUUCUGUCAGAAGCGGCACCAAGCACAGGUGGUUUGUCUGCCAACUGCCCAGAGCUAAAUGGAUACAUUUAUUUAAAACAAUUGCAUAAGCUGGGUAUACUGUAGGUGUAAAUCAUGUACAAACUACAUGUGCAAGUUUGUGCAAAUCAUUUGCAAACUGAAUCAUCCAAAAAAAAAAAAAAAAAACUGAGCAGGGUUUUGAUCUGCAAAACACCCUAUUUUUGCCUUUAUGAAACCAAGAUGUUGGUAAUGAUGUGGGUGAAAGGCUGAACUGACAAUACGCAGUUGCCAGGGAAUGAACGUCUGCAUUUUGCAAGAGUAUGAAAUCUCUAAUUUCAACAGCAAUCCCUAUGGCCUACAGCGACAUAUGACCCCAACACCACACUUGGUCACUGGUAUGGUUGGCGGUGAACACACUCACACGGACGCGUUUGCACACACACAUGCACAGGAGGACCCUGCACUCGCCCCGGCGUGCACUCCCUCUUAGCAAUCCCUCUUUUUUCCGAUGGCCGUCGCGAGUAGCAGACGGUUUUGCCAUCCCUCUCCCAAAAUAGCCACCCGUUAGCACAGCCAGGUCAGAUGGUUUUGAAACAUCCAUGGCAAACGGUGCUGGAGUGGAGGGGUGGAGGGGGCAACAAGUGCGUGACCACCUCUUGGAGAGCUCCAGAGAGGCGGUCAUGGGUGGGCCUCAAGUGGAGGUUUCUUUCACACUUGGGUGACAAUGAGUGCUGGGGAACAAACGAGAGCUGUCUAAGAAAAACUUGUGAUGUGUGUGUGAAUGCGUUUGCAAGCAACAGGUGGUGGGCAUUUGAUUCUUAACAUUUUAACAUAUGGAUAAGGAGAGCCAAAGUCAUGGCGUCCCGGGUUCAAUUUCCAGAGGACGACAUUAGAAAUUUUCUACUUUGUGAUUUUAAAAUUGCUGUUAAAGCAUCAACACUUAUAAACAAACGCAAGCAACAGUGGUUUCUAAGAAACAUAACCAAAAAAUCAUUUGUGUUGAAUUCAUUUGUGUUUUCACAGAGUAAUCAGAACCAUGACAAAAGGGAUUAUGAACGUCGACUCAAUAAAAAAAAAAUUGCUGACAAAUUUAUAGGCAGUAGUGAGAAAUCACAUGCACCAUCUGGUUUGACUGAUGUUGUAUUGAAAGUACUUUUAGCCAUGCUAGUGCACACAAUCUGCGGAGGAGUUGGCUAAAAGUUAAAAUGAUCUGGAGCCAGGCAAAGCAGAAGAUAGAUCUAAUCGUCCUCUCUGUGUGUCUCUUUCACAGGCGGGCAUUUUGCUUAUUGAUUCAUCAGAGAAGUAGGCCGAAGCUUGACAUAGCAACCCAACAUGCAGUCUCCUAAUGACUUAACCACAUCAACUCUUUUUUCUUCUGUGCUGUUCACCCUCCCUCCAUCUCUCCCUUCAGGCACCAACCGUGGCUAGAACACGUAACCUCCCCACCCCCAACUCCGCCCUCUCAAUCUCCAGGCAGAACCAGAUCUUCAUGGCUGCGGUGAGACCAGAUCAACCAAUGCAGUUGCAGAGCGUAGAUCAAG